GUGAUGAAACAGUGCUAACUACUGCACCACCAUGCCACCCCCUCCAGCAAACAAAGACUUCAGAUACUGCUGAAACCAGGUGCCUUGUCCUGAUGGGGCUUCCAGUACUUCUUGGUGACUAUCCAGCUGAUUUCUUCAAGGACUGCUUUGCUAUUGAUGACAAGGACGGAUACAGAGAUUCGCCGAUUGGAAUCCUCUGCUUUAAAGAUGUACCACAGCUUCCACUUUCCUGCUGUCCAUCCUCUGUGGGAAUCGUAUUGGAGGGGAAAGCUGUGAUGGAUGAUCUUGAUGACCUACCCCAGGCUAUGUGCCUUCUGUUUGGAUUAAUAUUUGCUCUUCACUUAAACUACCAUAAGUGCAUGGACCACACUUUCCAUUUCAUUCAGCAAGUUCUGUUGAGUUAGGUAAGAAGGAAUUAAAAGGCAAGGUUUUAACUGACAAAUCAGCUGACCUGCAGACUGAUGGUGAUGCACGUGGCCUCAGUAAGGAUCCAGCAUCUAAAUCUAUAUAUGGUUUAAUCACAUUUCUAUUGUAUCAUGCACAUACCUACAUACAAGUUCUAGCUCUGUCCACACUACAAUUGGUUUUCAUGCCAUUUGAGACAUUUUAGGUGCAUUGGACAAAACGCUCAACCUUAUUCAUACUCACAGCCUCUUGAAUCCCACCUGCACUUACUGAAAAGGCUUCUUGGCACUAGGCCUAAAUCUCCAGGUGAUAUGCAACCAGCAAGGACAUUUCACAGACAUUGUCACCAAGUGGCCUGGGAGUACACCUGAUGGUUAUAGGUGUUAUAGGUCGACUGGGAAGGGGGGGGGGUGUCAAUGGUAGACUUCAUUGUUUGUUUCCACUUCCACAGAGUCAUUAAGCAAUAUGGAUUUUCGGCAGGGUAAGAUACAAGUUUUCUCCCUUCGAAAUUUGUACACAUGUAAAAUUUUUUCUCACCAAAUGAUUAAAGACUUAGCCUAAAUAUACCUAAAAUUCACCCUCAUCAUUUUGGCCUUAGGAGGGUUUGAGACCAAAUUUCAUACUUCUCCUGUUGACUAUGUGUAAAUUACUGCUUUCUGUUUGCAGAAUCGUGUUUUUUAAAAAACAUAUUUUAUCAUUAGCACCUUUUAUUAAUGAGUGGGCUUGUGUAGUCCUUUCUGAACAAAAUUUUUAAGUGAACGUAAUUCCAUAUAUAAUCAAUUCAAAGAACUCGAAUAAAUGUAAAACCUGUGUUAAACAUCAAAGAGCCCACCACCCAACAGAAAAAUAUACUAAUUGGGCUUGAUGUAGGACUUCUAACACACUAAAAAGUGUGUUAGAAGUGUGUUUCCAGCUCCAGUAAGGAGGUGCUUUUAGUGAUUACUCAACAUGUCUGCAGGUUUUUGUUUUUGUUUUACUUACCUGGGAUGGUUAAAGGGGGUCAUUGUUCAGUUUAAGGCUGCAUGCUCUAGGGAAGCCCCUUUUGUCACUACAGCUACUUUCACAGCUACUGUAUUUCUUGGAAGAAAUAUGGAAGUAGCCUGCAUAACUAGAGAUUAGAAAUGUUUCAGGGUUUGGGCUUAGAAAUAAACCUUGAACAUUCAUUUAUUUUGAAGGGGAGUCAUCCAUCUAUCUAUCUUUUAUGGAUUGAGGUUAGAGACCCAAUCUAAGACAAGGGUACACACUGGAUGGGUUGCCAGUCCAUCACUGUGAAGAGUUAUAGCAUCUUCAUACAGGUUGAUUUCACAGUGUUACUUUUUAAUAGAGCUUUUGCCUUUUUGUUUUAACUUAGUUAUAUCAAAGACGAUGAAGGUCAUAUUCAAACCCACAACCCUAAGGGCAUGAGGCAACACGCAACAGAAAGUUACAUAAACCAAAAAAAAAAUAAUAAAACUUUAAUAUUGGAGGAUCUCGUGAUUUAAAAAGCUAACAGUUGAGGUAAACCUUGUCUUGUGGGGCACCUAAGAUUUCACCUCACAAUCGCUGGUCACACUGUCCUAUAAAGCUAUGUCUCAAUAGGGAGAAUUACAUUGCUUUUCCUGUUUUAAUUUGUGCUUUUAUUUGAAAUAGUAUUGUUCAUUCAUGUAUGCACAAGGGAGACCGAAACGAUAAUUUAAUAAUUUAUUAUACAGAUACUCUCACAGUCAUGAUUAUAGCUUAAUUUCUCAGAACAUCUUACUUUUUCAUUAAAUUUUGGUUAUUUUUUUUGAAAAUCCUAAGGUUGUAAUAUGCAAGAUUUUGUAAUAAAAGUACUACUUGAACUGAGGCAAAAAUAGUUUGGAGAACAAUGCCUGUAUCGUGACUUCAGUAUGGCUACAAUCAUGGGCAUAAAUUACGGGGGGGAUGGGGGGUUGUAAUCCCCCCCAAUAAUCAUGUCUCCUUCUAAAUGGGUGGAGACCUCAACCCCUCCAAAGGUCAAACCAAACUUAUGCCAUUGGCUGCAUUG